AACGCCCCAUGUUGUGUGUGUGUGUGAAUCGGCCGAUGUGAACCGAAUGUUGAUGUAAGAGGCAGGGCACUCGGCUGCGGAUGGGUAACAGGGCGUGGGCUGGCACACUUACUUGCACCAGUGCCCAGAGAGGGGGUGCAGGCUGAGGAGCUGCCCAGAGCACCGCUCACACUCCCAGAGUACCUGAAGUCGGCAUUUCAAUGACAGGUGACAAGGGUCCCCAAAGGCUAAGCGGGUCCAGCUAUGGUUCCAUCUCCAGCCCGACCAGCCCGACCAGCCCAGGGCCACAGCAAGCACCUCCCAGAGAGACCUACCUGAGUGAGAAGAUCCCCAUCCCAGACACAAAACCGGAAACAUCGAGUCAGAUCUUCAGGCUGGCGCCGUGGCGGGAUUCAAACUUCUCUGGGUGCUGCUCUGGGCCACCGUGUUGGGCUUGCUCUGCCAGCGACUGGCUGCACGUCUGGGCGUGGUGACAGGCAAGGACUUGGGCGAGGUCUGCCAUCUCUACUACCCUAAGUCGGAGUCUCGCUCCGUCGCCCAGUCAGGAGUGCAAUGGUGCGAUGUCAGCUCACUGCAACCUCUACCUCCCAGGUGCCCCGCACCGUCCUCUGGCUGACCAUCGAG
rnacentral:lncRNA from 1 species